rnacentral:rRNA from 1 species
ACGGGGUGCAGCAGGCGCGAAACCUCCACAAUUCACGAAAGUGAGAUGGGGUUACCUCGAGUGCCGCCUGAUGAAGGCGGCUUUUCCAUUGUGUAAUGAGCCGUGGGAAUAAGAGGGGGGCAAGACUGGUGUCAGCCGCCGCGGUAACACCAGCCCCUCGAGUGGUGGGGAUGAUUAUUUGGCCUAAAGCGUCCGUAGCUGGCCCGGUAAAUCUCUCGUUAAAUCCAACGUCCUAAGCGUUGGGCUGCGAGGGAAACUGCAGAGCUAGAGGGUGGGAGAGGUCAGCGGUAUUCCUGGGGUAGGGGCGAAAUCCAUUGAUCCCAGGAGGACCACCAGUGGCGAAGGCUGCUGACUUGAACACGCCUGACAGUGAGGGACGAAAGCUGGGGUAGCGAAUCGGAUUAGAUACCCGAGUAGUCCCAGCCGUAAACGAUGCAGGCUAGGUGUUGGGUCGGCCAUGUGCUGGCUCAGUGCCACAGGGAA